rnacentral:lncRNA from 12 species
AUGUGCCCGCUGGAAGCUUGCAGGGAGACGUGGCUGCUGUACUGGAAUGCGGGCUGCUCCUUGGAUAACACUGGUUCCCUGCCCACCAGGGAACCAGACAACUGGCUGCAUGCCAGCAUUUUGGAACCUGCAGGAAGAGGAAAAAAUAUCACACCCUGGCUUGGCUGGUUACCAAAGGCAGGGGUUUCACAGCUAUUCCUGAAGGAUCCCUUCACAGAUGCGGGGCUGGGUGACAGGAACAAGGACCCGGCAUGGUGACUGUAACGGCAACCCCCUCCAUAUCUUCCUAGAAACCAGCUGCAGCCAGGGCUUCUGGAAGGGGGUGACGAGGAGAAGCGUAAGUGAUUCGUUUUUCUGUGUACCAUAACCUUGCACCUUAUUGCCUAUAAAUCAGAGCCGUUUGAAAAUUCACCACAUCCUUUUUCUGUCCAGGCCUGUGACACGGCUUCCUUUAAUCCAGCAGAUAGAUGCCUGUGGUUUCAGAGCCCUGGGAUGUUCCACUCCGUGUGCCACAUGCAUGUGGUUAGUUAAUGACCUGGGUGUCUACUGAGGUUUGUGACCACGGAUUGUUGCAAAGCUCUACCUGACUCCUUUCUUCUCCUAGAGAAGAUGAGAACAUUCUGACCAUAUUAGUCAUGCUGGGCUUUCUUCUUCUUCUUCUUUUUUUUUUUUUUUUUUUUUUUUUUUUUAAUACACAGGAAAUGUUCCUCUCCAAGAGCACAUAAUUUGGCCAAUAACAGCUUCCUAGGUUCAGAGCAACUUCACCAUCUAUCAUGAGUUCUCCAAGAUAAAGUUUGUAGUAGCACUUUUAGCAGCAGAAAUGUCACCAAAUUGCAUAAACCCAAGGCCUGCUUUGGCAUCCAGUCACACUGCAAAUAUUGAUUGAGCAGAGUUCAUUGGGGUCAGUAAGAUGAAUUGGACGGUUUAUCCUUCAUCCUUAGAAUUUACCAUGAGUCACACAAAGUCACACAGGCUUCCUUUUGUUCGGAAAGAGGCAUUUCAAUAUUGAAUUGUGGGCAGCAGAGAACGCAGUACUCCUGUGACAUUAGAGCUUUGGCAAGGAGAGUGUCAACAGGGUUGGAUGUGAGAUCCGCGUGGCUGCUGUCUGGGGCUGAAAUGUACCCUCUUGGCACUGGAGCAUCCAGUGGGAAGAAGCCAGGCUUGCAGCGCUCAUGAGUUUGUAAACAGGGCCAUGUACAGUCCUCCUAAUUACUAUUUUGUCAUGUGGAAACCGACUAUAGCCUAUUAGAUGGGAAAUUCACCUCUGAGGCUGUCUGCAUAAUUUAAAAGAGCCAGUUACAAAACAGAAAGUAGAGGGGAGAGUUGUCAUCGUCUACACAAAGUCAAUCGAUUGGUUGGUCACUCAUCUGUCAUGAUCACUCUAAUGUGUCAACUUGGCUAUGCUUAUGGUACUGGGUUAUUCGAUCAAGAACUCAUCUAGGUGUUGCUGUGAAGAUAUUCUGUAGAUAUGAUUAACAUCUACAAGCAGUUGACUUUAUAUAAAGAAGAUUCCUGGAUAAUCUGGGUGGAUCUGGCCCAGUCCUUUGAAUGGCCUUAAUAACAGAACUGAGAUUUCCGUCUGGAAAAAGAAAUUCCACCUGUGGACUGGAGUAGUUCCUGCCUGAGAGUUUCUACCCCACCCUUCCUGACAACAUACCUAUGGAUUUUGGAUUUGCCCAGACAGCCUUACAAUCACAAAAAAAAAAAAAAAUUCCUUGCAAUCUCUCUCUCUCUAUGUAUAUGUGUGUAUAUACACUAAUGUAAUUAAUAUAUUAUACUCAUAUAUAAUAGAUUUCAAUGUAUCAUAGGAUGUAUAUUAUUAAUGUAUGCAAUUAAUAUUAUGAGCAUGUAGAUAUGUAUUCAUAUGUGUUCAUACGUCUCCUACUUUUGUUACUUUGACACUGAUACAUCAUCUUAUCAUUACUUAGAGGUAACAAACAGCCAACUUGAUGAUUUUUUUUAACUAAAUCAAAUGCCAGUGCCCAAAGAUAGCAUGUAAGAUUAGCAGUGACCUUCAGGGCAUGUCUAUACCACGACUACAUAAAAUUUUCAGUCUAUUCUCAACACAGGAACCAGAGCUAUCCUACUAUAACACGGGUUAGAUCAUCUCCCUCCACUGUUUAAAACUCCGACUAAUUUCUCGCACUCAUGGUCAACGUCAAUGUCUUUAUGUCAGUGUGCAAACCCGCAAGAUCUGAGCCCCAAUUCCUUGAACAGUGUCACUUGCUUUCACCCUCUUGCUCCUAUGGUCCAGCCAUGCUAGGUUUUUCUGUCCCUCACAGAUGCCAGACACACUUGUUAUUCAGGGUUGAGACACUAUUCUCCGGGUUGAUUUUCCUUCCUUCAUAGCACCUAUAGCCACUUGAAAUAUUCCAUAUUUACUUACUGCUCUGUCCAAAAUCUAUCUUUUCUAGAAUGUAAAGCCCUAUAAGAGCAGGGAGUGCUUCCGUUUUGUUCACUGCUGUAUGUACUCCAGUGCACACAUAAGUUAGGAAAUCUGUUAAUACCUGUUGAAUGAAUGAAUGAAUGAAUGAAUGCACUUAAUAGUGAUGAAGUCAGACAUAUAUGUAAGUUGGUGUUAUUUAGAUAAAACAAUUGGUUUGCCAAAUGUUCAUUUUCUGCCAGGCCUUUCUUCCCCCCAACCCCCCCCCCACACACACACAAGUACCAUUUCAAAGGGAACUGAUGUGAUCUAACCUUGAAGGUCUCCUUUCUUCUGAACAUUUCUUCAGUGGUGGCCAUAUUGGUCACUUUUUCCAUGUUGAGAUCCUCUCCUCUUAACUUCAUGAUUCUGUGCUGCUCGUCUAUUGGUCAAGAUCCAUCUCUAGAGUUACCUUUUCUAACCGCCUUAACAGAAGUUACCUUGGCAUCCCCUGAAAUCCUCAAAGCACAUGUCACCUCUGCUGCUCAUGGGAUAUAGGACAUUGGCUGUCCCUUCUUCAACUACAUCUCAGGAUACCAAUGAAUUCUGGGGGGUCAGAACAGUGCAUUACACUUCCCUGACCCCCUGCAUCCACCAGCAUCGUGCCACAUGAUGGCAGAGUUCCAAUUCCAAUUUGUUCGAGAAAUAAAUGGGUGAGUAUUGUUAGUCA